UACGAAGGGGGGCUAGCGUUGCUCGGAAUUACUGGGCGUAAAGCGCACGUAGGCGGAUUUGUAAGUCAGGGGUGAAAUCCCCGGGGGCUCAACCUCGGAACUGCCCUUUUGAUACUGCAAAAUCUCGAGUCCGGAAGAGGUGAGUGGAAUUCCUAGUGUAGAGGUGAAAUUCGUAGAUAUUAGGAAGAACACCAGUGGCGAAGGCGGCUCACUGGUCCGGUACUGACGCUGAGGUGCGAAAGCGUGGGGGAGCAAACAGG
rnacentral:rRNA from 1 species